GCACGUGCCUGUAAUCCCAGCUACUCGGAUGGCUGAGCCCGGAGGAUCGCUUGAGUCCAGGGGUUCUGGGCUGCAGUGCGCUAUACCGAUCGUGUGUCCGCACUAAGUUCGGCAUCAAUAUGGUGACCUCCCGGGAGCGGAGGAACACCAGGUUGCCUAAGGAGGGGAUGGGAAGAACACA